AACGGCCGUACCAUGCUGAAUAUACCGGUUCUCGUUAGAUCACCGAAGUCAAGCAUCAUUGGGCGCGGUCAGUACUUGGGUUUUUGACCACCUGGGAACACUGCGUGCCGUU
rnacentral:rRNA from 1 species